rnacentral:tRNA from 1 species
CAGAGAAUAGUUUAUAAAAAUAUUAGUUUUGGGAAUUAAAGAUGAAGGACUUAUUCCUUUUUCUCUGA